CGGAAAGCCACUGGUGCCAUCGCUCAGAAGGAACGGUCACAGCGGAAGACACACAAAGCCUCCAAAUGCUGAAGCAAGUUUUCAUCCUGCUGGUUCUCAGCCUGGUCAUCUCUCUGGCCUACUCCUACCACACAGUUGGGCGACGCAGCGCCUACAGCGGCAGGAACUACUACUACGGAAACAGCCCGCUCAGCAACAAGAACCUCGUUCGCUAUGGUUACGGGUAUGACUACAGCCCCGAAUAUGCUGACGUCAAUUACAACUAUGGCGGCAGGUAUCUUUACUAAAAACCAUGGUCCUUAGCGUACUUUGGGGAAUUCGGUGGCGUGAAGUUAUCUUAUAUUGUCUUCUCGUGUAGCUUUCAUAGAAAUAAAAAGAACUCAUCAUACUA